rnacentral:rRNA from 1 species
CCGAAACCAGGUGAUCUACCCUUGGUCAGGUUGAAGUUCAGGUAACACUGAAUGGAGGACCGAACCGACUUACGUUGAAAAGUGAGCGGAUGAACUGAGGGUAGCGGAGAAAUUCCAAUCGAACCUGGAGAUAGCUGGUUCUCUCCGAAAUAGCUUUAGGGCUAGCCUCAAGUGAUGAUUAUUGGAGGUAGAGCACUGUUUGGACGAGGGGCCCCUCUCGGGUUACCGAAUUCAGACAAACUCCGAAUGCCAAUUAAUUUAACUUGGGAGUCAGAACAUGGGUGAUAAGGUCCGUGUUCGAAAGGGAAACAGCCCAGACCACCAGCUAAGGUCCCAAAAUAUAUGUUAAGUGGAAAAGGAUGUGGCGUUGCCCAGACAACUAGGAUGUUGGCUUAGAAGCAGCCAUCAUUUAAAGAGUGCGUAAUAGCUCACUAGUCGAGUGACACUGCGCCGAAAAUGUACCGGGGCUAAACAUAUUACCGAAGCUGUGGAUUGUCCUUUGGACAAU